UCCCUGGUGGCUCAGAUGGUAAAGCGUCUGCCUACAAUGCAGGAGACGUGGGUUCGAUCCCUAGUUCAGGAA
rfam:TPA: Bos taurus chromosome 27, whole genome shotgun sequence.